GCCAAGUCAUUAAUGAAUUCAAGUUAAUAAUUUCUUUCAUGAAUAAAUUAACUGUAGAUGGUGGAUCAGUGGCCUAGAGAAUAUAUAGCUCUAAAUUAAAAUGUUCGUGCAUGAUGUAAAUUUCAAGGAUUUGCAACAACUCAACGUGUUGAAUCAACUCCAAAAACGGUGACGAAGUCACUCUUUUAUAUUUGACUCAACUCCAAAAAAUUUACAGUGCAUUCU